GCAUUAGCUCUUAUGGUGUUAUCUCAAUAGUGAUUUUUCUUUUUCAUUUUCCUUUCAUCUCCAUCUCCAUGGUUCCCUACCGGCAAAGGUUUAUCUUCACAACCUUCAACACUAUAUACUCAGAUUUCAAAAGUUUUGGUGAUUGCUGCAAAUUGCAUAAAUUUCAUCGCUCAAUAUCGGUGAACCUCUUCACUCUUACUACCAGUACAGGUACACCUCUUUCCACUCUACUUUUUUUUAUAGGAAUUUUAGGGUUUUGUGUUUAGAGAGCGGGUUUCAAUAUUUUUCAUAUAUAAUUUGGUGUUUUUAUGUUAAUGCUGAUUCAGAUACACCAAUAUCUAUAACAAGUUCGCAUUGCAUCCCAAGUUGCCACGGUUGCAUAUGUGUUUGUAUACAUGAUGUACGUAUUUUCUUGUUAAUUUAUUGGAAGUGCAUGACUUGAAUUUACAACAGAAAUAAUAAGAUUGUUAUAUGAAUACAAAAAAAUAUGCCAGUAGUUUAGCCACUAGAGUCACUACAACUAUAUGAAAUUGAUUUUGAAUAAUUAUUACCAAAACUGUAUGCCAAAUACAGUUACACGAGUUAGUUGUUCCAUUUUCGAAGCUGUGGAGCUAAUCAUUUGAUUCGUAUUUUGAAACUGUAAUUGAAUUUGUCUCGUAGGAAUUGGAGGAGGAUAUACAGUCUACUUGUAGUGGUGGCAUUUCGGGAGAAAACAAGACCGGCUUUGGAGGAUAUGACACCGAUGAAAGUGGUCCUUGUAGCAUUUCUAUUACUUUAUUCAUGGGUGGUCUGUCUGAUGGAUUCGUUUGAAUGCACCAUAGACUCACCAAAGUAAUCUUUCUAACCAUAUCAUUUUCUUCCUCUGAGAUUGUCAAACUAUCUAAAAGAGUUUUACUAGUAUUACCUUGCUCAAGAUCUUUAUAAAUCCAAUCAGGAAAAUACAUUUCAGAACUAUGUGACCCUCCGGUGUCAUAGUUCUUUCUUCCUCCUAUCAUCUCAAGAAUCAAUAUGCCAUAACUGUACACAUCAGACUUGUAAGAAACUCCACCGAAUGCCCUACUAAAUAUUUCAGGUGCCAUAUACCCUAUAGUUCCUCUUGCCCCUAGCAUUGACACGGUACUAUCCUUCUUUUGACAUAUUUUAGCCAAACCAAAAUCAGAUAUUUUUGGACAAAAAUUUUCAUCCAAAAGAAUGUUUUGGGGUUUGAUAUCAAGAUGCAAAAUCCUUGAGUUGCAUCCUUGAUGCAAGUACUCCAGUCCUCUAGCAAUGCCUAUUGCAAUUUGGAACAGAGUGUUCCAAUCAAAAUCACAAAUAGCAUUAGGAAGUUCACUUUUAUAGAUGAACUUAUCCAAUGAUCCUUUGGGCAUGAACUCAUAUAUUAGUGCUCUUUUGUUCCCUUCAUAACAAAAACCUAAAAGUGACACAAUGUUCAUGUGUGAUGUUCUACUAAUGCUAGCAACUUCGUUUAUGAAUUCUUCUCCAUUUCCCUUUGAUUCGUUUAUAAGUUUCACCGCCACUUGACUACCAUCGUUUAAACUUGCUUUGUACACAACACCAUAUCCUCCUUGGCCUAAUUUAUCUCGGAAUGAGUUUGUAACUCUUUUUACUUCUGCAUAACUAUAUCUUCUUGGCAUGUGUAAAUUAUAAUUUUGCAUGAAAAUUUCCACAUUGUUGUCCACAAGCUUUCUUCUUUUCCUAAAAAUACUCUUUUCUUGUCUACAUGUACCCCUUUUAGUCAUAAUAAUAGUAAUAAUAAAGAAUAUUGUUACUCCAAAUCCUGCACCUGAAUUUAUCAAAUAAAAAACAAAUAGUUUUCGUCUAUACUUUUAGAAGAUAAAUUCAUGCCACUAAAAUGUGGGAUACGAAACGCUAUCAUAAAAAAGAUAAUGUUUGUUAUCCUUACCUAUAGCAACAAGCCUCCAGUUAUGUUUUGAACCUACAAUAAAAAAAAAAUAGAUAGAACUUAUAAUAAUCAUACAUAGUCUCUUGAAGAGGAUUAAUGGUCAUUUAUAUAAUAAUUGCUUUUUUAUUUUGCAGGUCCAAUAAAGAGAAAAUUUCGUGGUAUAUAUAAAUACUGACAUGGUGAAUCAGUUGUAUCAGAACUAGCUACUGAAGUGACGUUGACAGUGACACAAUAUGUUGAAAUCAGGUGCGUUUAGGUUUCAAGAUCUUAGUUAAAGCCAAUAUAUUUUCAAAGCAUUGGUCUAUUUAUCUUGGAGACUAAUAUUUUCAAAGACACCUUCAAACACAUUUGGUCUGUAAUGAAGAAGCAUAAAGGAAAUGUGAAGGCAUUGAAAUGCAGCUUAAGGAGUUCAGACUGAAUUAAAGACUCUAGGAAUGAAGUCAGUCAAGUCAUGGUGAGACACUUUGAUUCUGCUAAAUUUACGCUUGAAAGCUUAAACAAGGUAAUGGUGUCACCCUGAUUUUUCAAAUUCAUGGUGAUUUCAUACAUUUAAUUUUGUUUAAUGUAUUAUGGAAGAGUAGAUUAUAUUCAUGAAAAAUUCACUUUCACCAUUUGAUACAUUAUGGAGUUCCUAUGCUAGUGUUGGAAUGUCAGCAGGGCCUCCACAAGUGUAACCAAACCCUUAGUACAACGCAUCCAAAAUUUAAGGGCCUCUAAGUUCCAACUAGUGUUUUUAACAAGAAUGCUUCUUCUCUCCCAUAUCUAUAUAGCAAAUGUGUGGUCAAAAUAUGGACUUUCAGUUUUUUUAGUAGCAGAUUUUCUGCUAAUGUUAAUGCAACUGUUUUUAAAGAUUAGCGAACAACAUUGUCUGUCCCAAAGCAUACAAUGUAAGGGCAUGUGUAGGUAGCUAUUAUAAUUCAGUUUUUGGAUGUACUAGGUUCCCCCUAAAUUAACAUGCUUUCAAUUGUUAUGAUGAAGUAACACCUCUUGGAAGCAUUGUUUAAUUUCUUUGAACAAUGCACAACCUAUAACAGCUACAGUGAUAAUAGUACAAAAUCUAUUGUGUACACAGAUGUAUAUGAGGUGGCACAGGCACUUAUAGGAUGGGAAUAGUUCAGACCGAUUGAUAGGAGUCUACAGCCGACUGAAAGGAGUCUACAACCUAGCCUAUGCCAGACUCAGGUUAGACUAGUUUUUUUUCAGAUAGAGAAAGCUUGGGCUUUUUUUAAAAGCCUAUCUAGCUUAAUAGACCAAGCCAUAGGCCCUAAAAGAAUCUUUUAAUCCUACCAGGCCGACAUACUUAAAAUGAGGGGGAUGAUUGCUGUAUCUUCCAAACCAUUUGCAGGUCAACAUUUUCAUCUCUGUCUUGGUAAAAGAAACAUUUUAAGACAUACUUGGCAAUAGAAUAGUAAACUAUUCUGCCUCAGUAAUGUUUAUGCAAGUAUUGGGAUAUUUUAACACUUGCAAGGGGAUUUUGUGAAAGUUCCAUAUAUAGAGGAUACAUAAAUUGAAAUAUGUUUUUGAAUGGCAAUCAUUGAUCUCAUUUGACGCUAGUUUUUGUAGGGUAGACUUAGAUAACCAGCUAUGAAGUCAUACGGGUCACGCCCAAGAUGUUAAGGUUUAGCAACACUUGGAAGAGGAUUUUUGAUGUAACAACUAUCUUAUAUGAUGCUUUAUUAGCCCACAUUUGAUCAUGAUAUAUCCUCCAAUAUCAAGAAUCACGGUUCACAAGGUUGAUUGAUCAUGAUCAAUCGUAAUUAAUAUUUAAAACGUUGCUUCCUAAUAAAGCUAAUGAUAAUCUAACAUUAGUGUUACUAAUCCUAAUGAAAAAAAU
rnacentral:lncRNA from 1 species